GAUGAACGCUAGCGGCAGGCCUAAUACAUGCAAGUCGAACGGGAUCUGAGGGUAGCUUGCUACCCGAUUUGAGAGUGGCGCACGGGUGCGUAACGCGUGAGCAACCUACCCAUAUCAGGGGGAUAGCCCGAAGAAAUUCGGAUUAACACCGCAUAAUAAUACGCUAACACAUGUUGAUGUAUUUAAAUAUUUAUAGGAUAUGGAUGGGCUCGCGUGACAUUAGCUAGUUGGUAAGGUAACGGCUUACCAAGGCGACGAUGUCUAGGGGCUCUGAGAGGAAAAUCCCCCACACUGGGAGUGGGACACGGACCAGACUCCUACGGGAGGCAGCAGUAAGGAAUAUUGGUCAAUGGGCGCAAGCCUGAACCAGCCAUGCCGCGUGCAGGAUGACUGCCCUAUGGGUUGUAAACUGCUUUUGUUAGGGAAUAAACCUUCUUACGUGUAAGGAGCUGAAUGUACCUAAAGAAUAAGGAUCGGCUAACUCCGUGCCAGCAGCCGCAGUAA
rnacentral:rRNA from 1 species